ensembl:lncRNA
AAGGAAAUUCCCUAAGGAAAACAGAAUGAAGCUGCUCCUGUUGAGAAGGCAGAAACUGCUCCAGCUCCCCUUGGACAGCCCAGCACCUCCCUCAGGACCUGGAGUGCCCCAGCCACCAAACACAACCUCAUCCAUCACCCCAAAGGCUGUGGUACAGCCCCUCCUCACAGGAGGAAGGCUGUGCAGAACCAGGCUCUGUCCUUGUUAUUCUUGCUGGAAUGCUUCUUCCUCUCUGAUCAACGUGAAUGAUGAGGCAGAAGAAAACCUCUGGGGUUUUCACGUUUCUUGUGGCAUCCCACGUUCUCUCAGAGCUGUAUGGUGAGGAUGGGUGGGAUGCAGCCUGCAGAUUCAACCAGGUUCUCAGGACACUCUGCUCCUUUCACCUCCCAUUGGAUGCUGAUGCCUGCCUUGUUACCCAGACACUCAGUCCAGUGCUGUAAUGUGUAAUAGCUCUGCCAGAAAAAAGCCAUUAAUUUUUUUUUAAUGGAAAUCUAUGGCUGUAAUCCCCAGAGAUGCCAGCCUGGUGCUGCACAGGCAGUGAAAGCAGAGGGGUAUCCCACAGGUGUGUGCUGCUGCUGAGGGGAGCUUCCACUGAGGACUGAGCCUCUGGCUGUGUCAAACUGACCAGUGAAAUUUGAAAAUCUUUCUGGAAGUUUUGCACCUAUCUGGAACUUUUAAACCAUUCUGGACCCUUCAUUCUGAGUUUUCCCCUUUUCCAGAUGACAUAUUCCUAUGUAUAUUUCUGUAUUUUGCAUCCUUUCCAAACAAUAGAGGAACCUGCUGGUAAAGGAGGAGAAGUUUGGUUUAGAGGGAUGAAAAUAUUUUUCUACAGCAUGUUGUGGUGUUGUUGUGAGGGUUCCCAGGAUGAGGUGAGAGAUGAGAAUUGACUCCAAGUUCUCAGAAGGCUGAUUGUUAUGUUAUGUUAUAUGUUAUAUGUUAUGUUAUGUUAUGUUAUGUUAUGUUAUGUUAUGUUAUGUUAUGUUAUGUUAUGUUAUGUUAUGUUAUAAUAGAAAGGAGACAUCAGAAGGCUGGAAAUGAAUGAAUAAUAAAAACCCGUGACAGAUGCA